rnacentral:rRNA from 1 species
GACGAACGCUGGCGGCGUGCCUAAUACAUGCAAGUAGAACGCAGUUGAGAACGGGUGAGUAACGCGUAGGUAACCUGCCUCAUAGCGGGGGAUAACUAUUGGAAACGCUUGCUAAUACCGCAUACUGUGAGAUGGACCUGUGUUGUCAUAGCUAGUUGGUGAGGUAAAGGCUCACCAAGGCGACGAUACAUAGCCAGCCUUAGAGGGUGGUCGGCCACACUGGGACUUAGACACGGGCCAGAAUUCUAAGGGAGGAAGCAGUAGGGGAACUUCGGGAAAGGACGGAAGUCCUACCCAGCAAAGCCGCGUGAAGGAAGGAGGUUUUCAGGUCUGAAAGCUUUGUUGUUAGGAAAACGGUAACUAACCAGAAAGGGACGGCUAACUACGUGCCAGCAGCCGCGGUAAUUC